UAGUCAACAUGCCCAGGGGACGUGGAUAACCUCGGGAAACUGAGGAUAAACCGCGAUAGGUCACUACUUCUGGAAUGGGUAAUGACCCAAACCUAUAUGGCCCCUGGAUUGGACUGCGGCCGAUCAGGCUGUUGGUGAGGUAAUGGCCCACCAAACCUGUAACCGGUACGGGCUCUGAGAGGAGGAGCCCGGAGAUGGGCACUGAGACAAGGGCCCAGGCCCUAUGGGGCGCAGCAGGCGCGAAACCUCUGCAAUAGGCGAAAGCUUGACAGGGUUACUCUGAGUGAUUUCCGUUAAGGAGAUCUUUUGGCACCUCUAAAAAUGGUGCAGAAUAAGGGGUGGGCAAGUCUGGUGUCAGCCGCCGCGGUAAUACCAGCACCCCGAGUGGUCGGGACGUUUAUUGGGCCUAAAGCAUCCGUAGCCGGUUCUACAAGUCUUCCGUUAAAUCCACCUGCUCAACAGAUGGGCUGCGGAAGAUACUAUGGAGCUAGGAGGCGGGAGAGGCAAGCGGUACUCGAUGGGUAGGGGUAAAAUCCGUUGAUCCAUUGAAGACCACCAGUGGCGAAGGCGGCUUGUCAGAACGCGCUCGACGGUGAGGGAUGAAAGCUGGGGGAGCAAACCGGAUUAGAUACCCGGGUAGUCCCAGCUGUAAACGAUGCAGACUCGGUGAUGAGUUGGCUUUAUGCCAACUCAGUGCCGCAGGGAAGCCGUUAAGUUUGCCGCCUGGGGAGUACGGUCGCAAGACUGAAACUUAAAGG
rnacentral:rRNA from 1 species